GACGAACGCUGGCGGCGUGCCUAAUACAUGCAAGUCGAGCGCAGCGGCGGAUGGGUGAGUAACGCGUAGGUAACCUGCCCUUAAGUCUGGGAUACCAUUUGGAACCAGAUGCUCAUACCGGAUACUAAAGGAGUGACCUGCGAUUCAGUAGCUAGUUGGUAAGGUAACGGCUUACCAAGGCGAUGAUGCAUAGCGGAGUUGAGAGACUGAUCGGCCACAUUGGGACUGAGAUACGGCCCAAACUCCGACGGGAGGCAGCAGUAGGGAAUCUUCCCCAAUGGACGAAAGUCUGAUGGAGCAACGCCGCGUGAGUGAAGAAGGUUUUCGGAUCGUAAAGCUCUGUUGUUGGUGAAGCGGUAAUCAACCAGAAAGUCACGGCUAACUACGUGCCAGCAGCCGCGGUAAUAC
rnacentral:rRNA from 1 species